rnacentral:rRNA from 2 species
CAUUUGCUUGUCUCAAAGAUUAAGCCAUGCAUGUCUAAGUAUAAGCAAUUAUACAGCGAAACUGCGAAUGGCUCAUUAUAUAAGUUAUGUUUAUUUGAUAGUACCUUACUACUUGGAUAACCGUGGUAAUUCUAGAGCUAAUACAUGCUAAAAAUCCCGACUUCGGAAGGGAUGUAUUUAUUAGAUUAAAAACCAAUGCCCUCUGGGCUCUCUGGUGAUUCAUGAUAACUUCUCGAAUCGCAUGGCCUUGCGCCGGCGAUGGUUCAUUCAAAUUUCUUCCCUAUCAACUUUCGAUGUUUGGGUAGUGGCCAAACAUGGUUGCAACGGGUAACGGAGGGUUAGGGCUCGACCCCGGAGAAGGAGCCUGAGAAACGGCUACUACAUCCAAGGAAGGCAGCAGGCGCGCAAAUUACCCAAUCCCGAUUCGGGGAGGUAGUGACAAUAAAUACUGAUACAGGGCUCUUUUGGGUCUUGUAAUUGGAAUGAGUACAAUUUAAAUCCCUUAACGAGGAACAAUUGGAGGGCAAGUCUGGUGCCAGCAGCCGCGGUAAUUCCAGCUCCAAUAGCGUAUAUUAAAGUUGUUGUGGUUAAAAAGCUCGUAGUUGAACCUUGGGCCUGGCUGGCCGGUCCGCCUCACCGCGUGUACUGGUCCGGCCGGGCCUUUCCCUCUGUGGAACCCCAUGCCCUUCACUGGGUGUGGCGGGGAAACAGGACUUUUACUUUGAAAAAAUUAGAGUGCUCCAGGCAGGCCUAUGCUCGAAUACAUUAGCAUGGAAUAAUAAAAUAGGACGUGCGGUUCUAUUUUGUUGGUUUCUAGGACCGCCGUAAUGAUUAAUAGGGACAGUCGGGGGCAUCAGUAUUCAAUUGUCAGAGGUGAAAUUCUUGGAUUUAUUGAAGACUAACUACUGCGAAAGCAUUUGCCAAGGAUGUUUUCAUUAAUCAGGAACGAAAGUUAGGGGAUCGAAGACGAUCAGAUACCGUCGUAGUCUUAACCAUAAACUAUGCCGACUAGGGAUCGGACGAUGUUAUAUUUUGACUCGUUCGGCACCUUACGAGAAAUCAAAGUGCUUGGGCUCCAGGGGGAG